CAUAAAUAGUUGCAUUCAAUGUUUAUGAUAAGAAUCCUGAGGCUGUAAGGAAUAGUAGCUAUUAAGUAGGUAAUGAUAUCGUCACACCCCUCUGAAGAAUUCAGAAACAACAGAGUCAUCUUCAUUCUUCUCUGCUGCCACCAGAC